rnacentral:rRNA from 1 species
GGCGUUCUCGCCGGAUGUAGGAACCGACCCGGGGACCGCCGGGGCAACCCGGCGCCCCCGAGACGGGGCGAACCACGGUGAAAUGACGGAUCGUCGGCCCCGCGCCGGCGACUCGCCGAAUGAGUUUCUGACCUAUCAACUCGAGACGGCGGGGUAGAGGCCCGCCGCGGUAACGACGGGUAACGGGGAAUCAGGGUUCGAUUCCGGAGAGGGAGCCCGAGAAACGGCUACCACUUCCAAGGAAGGCAGCAGGCGCGCAACUUACCCUAAUCUCGAUUCGAGGAGGUAGUGACAAGAAAUACCGAUGCGGGACCCUACGGGUGCCGCGUUCGGAAUGAGUACGAUUCGAACCACCUAACGAGGAACGAUCGGAGGGCAAGUCUGGUGCCAGCAGCCGCGGUAAUUCCAGCUCCAAUAGCGUACGUUAAAGUUGCUGCAGUU